rnacentral:misc_RNA from 1 species
GUCAUUAGUCCAAGAAUCAAAUCCAAACCCAAGAAUUACAUUAGAAACUCUAUAGCUAAAUCGCUGAAGGGGAAGGGUUACAGAUAACCCUAUUGAAGGAUUCCAUAGAACUAUGCGUUUCAAUAUGUGUGAAUGAUUAUCAGUUAAGCAGACAAUUCCAUUGCAAGAACCAACAAUCUCAAAAUAAUCCCAGCUACUAUUCAAUGGAAAAUCAAGUUCUUGAUACUUACCGAACAAAUCAUCAUCAUCCAAGUGUAAGGUGAAUCUUUCUUUCUUGUCAACUCUGGAAUAGUGCCUCAGGAGCAGGUAAUCUCUG